rnacentral:rRNA from 1 species
UACAGAGGUCUCAAGCGUUGUUCGGAUUCAUUGGGCGUAAAGGGUGCGUAGGCGGCGCCCGUAAGUCGGAUGUGAAAUCCCGGGGCUCAACCCCGGAACUGCAUUCGAUACUGCGGUGCUUGAGGACUGGAGAGGAGAUUGGAAUUCACGGUGUAGCAGUGAAAUGCUUGGAUAUCGUGAGGAAGGCCAGUGGCGAAGGCGGAUCUCUGGACAGUUCCUGACGCUGAGGCACGAAGGUCAGGGGAGCAAACGGG